rnacentral:rRNA from 1 species
GAACGCUGGCGGCGUGCCUAAUACAUGCAAGUCGAGCGAACAGACGAGGAGCUUGCUCCUCUGACGUUCGCGGCGGACGGGUGAGUAACACGUGGAUAACCUACCUAUAAGACUGGGAUAACUUCGGGAAACCGGAGCUAAUACCGGAUAAUAUAUUGAACCGCAUGGUUCAAUAGUGAAAGACGGUUUUGCUGUCACUUAUAGAUGGAUCCGCGCCGCAUUAGCUAGUUGGUAAGGUAACGGCUUACCAAGGCAACGAUGCGUAGCCGACCUGAGAGGGUGAUCGGCCACACUGGAACUGAGACACGGUCCAGACUCCUACGGGAGGCAGCAGUAGGGAAUCUUCCGCAAUGGGCGAAAGCCUGACGGAGCAACGCCGCGUGAGUGAUGAAGGUCUUCGGAUCGUAAAACUCUGUUAUUAGGGAAGAACAAAUGUGUAAGUAACUAUGCACGUCUUGACGGUACCUAAUCAGAAAGCCACGGCUAACUACGUG